UCGAUCAACAACAAUUUGACACUGUUAUUUAACAGUACUAUACCCUAUUUUCAUCCAAUGAGCACAAGGCGCCAGUUUGGAAUAUCAGAUUGAGGCAAAUAAUUGGUCAACCGAUCCCAGACUGCCAUCAUACAGCCAUCUUUAUUACACAACACAGAUGUCUGCCACUCCUGCUGACCUCGAAAAGAUGGGGAACCUGCCUGUGAGUCCUCGUUUGAUCCUGCUUGGUGUUAAUCCGGGCCAAUGGAUGAAACAAUGGAUGAUCAGCCUCGAAGGCCGAAUAAUCUGCGAGGGUGUGCAGCCAACCUUUAUCUCUGGACUUGCUGCAUUGUUCUCUUCGUAUUACAUUUUUAAUUUGCAGUACCAAGAGGAAGCAGCAUCCACACUAGAAUUCCUUCAAAGGUAACAAGUUUGGACUUAUUUUAUUUAUUUCUAAUUAAUAUGUUAGUAUUAGUAUGGUGACAAUAGAAUCCUCAAGCCAUCCUUACUUUCUUCUUUGAGCCGAACACAGUCGGAGUUAUAAAGAGAAAAUAAUAUUCUGGCUUCCCAGCUUUGCAAUGGCAUUGAAUAGAUCCCGAGUUUUUGAAGCUCCAAAAACCGCAUCCAUCCAUCAUAAAAUCCAUACGAC